UGGUGACUAUAGCAAGGAGGUCACACCUGUUCCCAUGCCGAACACAGAAGUUAAGCUCCUUAGCGUCGAUGGUAGU
rnacentral:rRNA from 7 species